rnacentral:rRNA from 1 species
CGAGUCCGAGUCUCCACGGAGACGAAGUGGCGGUCAUCCAGCUUCCUAGAAAAGCUCUAACCACGUUAAUCUUUAGUUGCCUGUACCCGAAACCGACACAGGUAGGGGGGUAGAGAAUACCAAGGGGCGCGAGAUAACUCUCUCUAAGGAACUCGGCAAAAUGACCCCGUAACUUCGGGAGAAGGGGUACCACUGAGAAGUGGUCGCAGUGAAGAGGCCCAGGCGACUGUUUACCAAAAACACAGGUCUCCGCCAAGUCGCAAGACGAAGUAUGGGGGCUGACGCCUGCCCAGUGCCGGAAGGUUAAGGAAGUGGGUUAGGGAUUCGUCCCGAAGCUGACGACUGAAGCCCCGGUGAACGGCGGCCGUAACUAUAACGGUCCUAAGGUAGCGAAAUUCCUUGUCGGGUAAGUUCCGACCCGCACGAAAGGCGUAACGAUCUGGGCGCUGUCUCGGAGAGAGGCUCGGCGAAAUAGGAAUGUCUGUGAAGAUACGGACUACCUGCACCUGGACAGAAAGACCCUAUGAAGCUUUACUGUAGCUUGGAAUUGGGUUCGGGCUUGGUUUGCGCAGGAUAGGUGGAGGCGAAGAAGAUUUGCUUGUGGGUGAAUCUGAGCCAACGGUGAGAUACCACUCUAACCAGGCUAGAAUUCUAACUUAACCCGUCAACCGGGGGAAGGACAGUUUCAGGUGGGCAGUUUGACUGGGGCGGUCGCCUCCUAAAAGAUAACGGAGGCGCACAAAGGUUCCCUCAGGCUGGUUGGAAAUCAGCCAACGAGUGCAAAGGCAGAAGGGAGCUUGACUGCGAGACCUACAAGUCAAGCAGGGUGGAAACACGGUCUUAGUGAUCCGACGGCACCGAGUGGAAGGGCCGUCGCUCAACGGAUAAAAGUUACUCUAAGGAUAACAGGCUGAUCUCCCCCAAGAGUUCACAUCGACGGGGAGGUUUGGCACCUCGAUGUCGGCUCAUCGCAACCUGGGGCGGAAGUACGUCCCAAGGGUUGGGCUGUUCGCCCAUUAAAGCGGUACGUGAGCUGGGUUCAGAACGUCGUGAGACAGUUCGGUCCAUAUCCGGUGUAGGCGCAAGAACAUUGAGAGGAGUCUUCCUUAGUACGAGAGGACCGGGAAGAACGCACCGCUGGUGUACCUGUUAUCGUGCCAACGGUAAACGCAGGGUAGCCAAGUGCGGAGUGGAUAACCGCUGAAAGCAUCUAAGUGGGAAGCCCACCUCAAGAUGAGUGUUCUCAUGGAGUAAUCCAGUAAGGUCACGGGAAGACGACCCGUUGAUAGGCGGUAGGUGGAAGUUCAGCAAUGGAUGAAGCCGAGCCGUACUAGCAGACCGAGGGCUUGAC